rnacentral:rRNA from 1 species
CUAAGAAUCUUCCGCAAUGGACGAAAGUCUGACGGAGCGACGCCGUGUGAAUGAAGAAGGCCGAAAGGUUGUAAAAUUCUUUUGCAGAUGAAGAAUAAGAAGAAGAGGGAAUGCUUCUUUGAUGACGGUAGUCAUGCGAAUAAGCCCCGGCUAAUUACGUGCCAGCAGCCGCGGUAACACGUAAGGGGCGAGCGUUGUUCGGAAUUAUUGGGCGUAAAGGGUAUGUAGGCGGUUAGGUAAGCCUGGUGUGAAAUCUACGAGCUCAACUCGUAAACUGCAUUGGGUACUGCUUGACUUGAAUCACGGAGGGGAAACCGGAAUUCCAAGUGUAGGGGUGGAAUCUGUAGAUAUUUGGAAGAACACCGGUGGCGAAGGCGGGUUUCUGGCCGAUGAUUGACGCUGAUAUACGAAGGUGCGGGGAGCAAACAGGAUUAGAUACCCUGGUAGUCCGCACAGUAAACGAUGUACACUAGGUGUCGGGGCAAGAGCUUCGGUGCCGACGCAAACGCAUUAAGUGUACCGCCUGGGAAGUAUGCCCGCAAGGGUG